rnacentral:misc_RNA from 1 species
AAAAAAAGCAAGAAAGCUUAGCUUAAAACCGAGGUGAUAUGAUUUGCAGUGGAUGACAUUUAUUCAAACUAAUUGAAGAAAUAAACUAUAUAUCUAGGCUAAAUAAAUAAAUAAACUAUAUCUACAACACGUAGAGAAGAAAGCUAAAACUCCCUUGCCCUAGGGAGAAAGCACUAUCUUUAUCUUCCGCAACAAUGAAACAAAUAGAAUACAGCUCGCUUGUGUUGCCGCCAAAAGGAUUGUUCUCCGUUGCAUAGCCAUGUUUGUUUCUCAAAUUUGACAGCAAACAGAAACUGAAUUUUAUAUGAGCAAAAAACAAUUUCUUUUGGUGGGGGAAA